UUAGUACUCUUCCAUGCAUACGUCGUCUAUGUGCCGUGUUCCUUCUUCACUUGCGAUCUCGAUCGAGGUAAAUCUGAGCACGUAGACGAUGGUCCUAGUAUGCGUACGUAGGACAGGAGCACACACGCUCUCACAGUCUUGUUCUUUAAUUCCUGGUGUUUGCACAAAUCCACCGUUGUGGUUUUCUCAGCAUCCGGCGUCGGCUUGAAGAAAUGCAUGCUCAUAAUUCAAAGUGCUGAUGAACUAGCAGGUUAUUUGCAUGUAUAUAUGGAUCUAUCGCAAUUGCAUAUAUAUAUACCUUUCUGUCAUAAACUGCAUGCGCGACCAGCAGGUGAAGAUUAGUUGAUCUCACGAAGAUGGAUCCGGAAGAAAGAUUAUUGUACGUACUCGAUCGUGAAGUAGUCGAUGUCAUAGUGUGUGUGUAGAUGUUCAAGCAUGACAUCGCACACUGUGAUCUACCACUACUGGAGUCGAACACGGCAUCGGAGAUCAGAGCUGUAACUGAUGAAGGGGCAGUGUAUAGUUUACUGCCAAGCCUCCAGGCAUCUGGCCUGAUAAUUCCUUGUCGGCUCCUCCUUUGAAUUUCUGUGUGAGGUUGUGUGUAAUGCAUAUCCAGCAGCCACUCGACAGGCUUCUAACGAUGCUUUAUUCGAUC
rnacentral:lncRNA from 7 species